UAACGUCGUCACACCGGUAAUACCAUAUCCACUCAUUAAUCCACAACCCACCUUCCCCACCUGCCGUAGCCAUUCUCCAUUGUCGCCAACCCCACCGUGACCUUCCCCACCAUUUUCUCUCCCCAACCUCUGCUCACCUCCUUCCCCCCGGCGGCUGGCCGCUGCACCGCCUCCUUCCACACGGCAGCAUGUUCGGGGAGAAAUCAAGGCGGCGUAGACCGUGGAGAUGGGAUGAGGGCUCGCGGCGGGAUCAGCAGCUCAUCCCCGCGGGAGGUCCACCCUGCCUCCUUGUGGCCUCCUUGCCCGGGAAACCACCACGCCGCCCCCACCGCGAAUCCCACCACCACCGAGCCCCCACCCGUGUCCUAUUUUUCUCUUUCUUGCGUGGAUUUGCUUUUGUGAUUCAUUCCCCUUUCUUUUUUUUCUGACCUUCACUUUCCCCUUUUUCUCCGAUCUUUUUCCUAGUCUGUGCCCUCCGCAAGGGAAGAUGGAUGGAAGAGCUCAUGUUUGACGCUCGCAUGGAGGAGCUCCUGUUCGCUGCCGCCUUCCAUCUCGCGCCCAUCUCCGUCCGCAAGUGCGCUCCGUUCAGGCGGUGGCAGAUUUGUUCUGCUGACGCCAUAGAACUGGAUUGCGUGAGGUCGUCUUGGUCCACCACCGUAGGCGCCGCCUUGCCGGAGCAGGAGGUGCAGCCCUACCCUCGAGCGCCGCUACGAGAGAUCCCCACGCGAGGAUGUGUUGCCGUUGCUGGACGACCAGGGCAGCUUGGCACGACCGGUGAGGCCUCGAGCAGGGCCGCUCGUUGCCUAAUCUUGGGUCUGCGCGUGAGGGUUGUCUCGGCCGGGAGGAGUUGUACCAGACGGGAGGAGCUGGUCUGCUCUACCAGACGGGAGGACCUGGACGAGCUCAAUGCGCGACGGCGGAGUUGACCAAGAGCUUGCUGCGGUAGUGGAGGGGCCGAGACGGGAGCACGGGCACCUGCCGGUGGCGGGGAUAACCCGUUUCCACCUGCAUCGAGCGGGCCGUGCGGCCCCGUAUUGACCGGAUGGAGGCGGCACCGGCGAGUAGAAGGUGGCCGCACUGUCACAGCAAAUGGCUUCAUCGCAUCGCUCGUGGACACUGUUUUUUGUUCAACAGCAAGUGAUGUAGCCUGCCUCCCGUGGCAUCACCUGUCCAUGUGCUCGAUUACGUUUUAUGAUAAUCUCCAUAUGAAGCACGAUCUACCUAGCUUGCUGAGACAAACAAUUGGAAUUUCUCUUGUCCUCUACCGUCAUUUUUUAUGCAAGCUCUACUGAGUUCCUA